rnacentral:tRNA from 1 species
GCUAACGUAGCUUAAAUAAAGCAUAACCUUGAAGACGUUAAGAUGAGUUUUAACAGACUUCGUGAGCA